ensembl:snoRNA
UGCAGCCUUGUCAAAUUCGAUGCCACCUCCACCCAUGGUGCCGCAUCGGCCCAAGGGCUGCAACAGCAUCACAUCGUGCUUCAUGGGCCCCACAUCCCUGCUGCGGUGGGAUGGAGGGGAUAAAAACAUGCCACGUACACUG